UCUCUCCUCACCCUCACUCCCACACGGUUUUGACUUCUUCCCCACUCUCCCAUCUCCAAAAACCUCCAUUCAAGCUUAUUCUUGCAUCCAUUGGAGUUUCCUUCAAGAAUCUCCGACGAAUCGCCUUGUUCUUCGCUUCUACCGAUUGGUUUUUGUCAAAGGAAGGGUGUUGUGUUUUCGUGAACUCGAGGAUCGAGAGUUGCUAAGUUGGGUUGUGAUUUUGCUAAGAGAACGAGAAUCUAAAGACAUGAAACGUUUUGGAGUACGUUUGAUCUUCGGCUGCGGGACAUGCCUACGUGGAGUUGGUGGCGGCCGCCAACCGGAGGACGUUGUUGGACACGCACCACGCCCUCAUGCAGUGCGAGGACCCGGGCAAAGCCGAAUACCUCAAGUGGAUGAUCGAUGAUCUGCGCCGCAAGGUUUGUGUGAACUCCACCGUAUUCAGAGAGUGAACAGAUCAGUUGGGCGGACAACAGACCAAGUUAGAAUUAAAUGGAGCCAGCAGGAGUCCCCGCAUAGAAGAUUGAGCAUAAUCCAAAAACCCCAAAAUCCAAGGGCAGGAACAACUUUUCGAGAGGAUGGUACCCUAGGGAUCAGAGCCCUACGCCUCUCUAUAAAUAGCAAGGUAAGUGCGAGUAGGGGAGAGGAUAUAUGGAGAUGGACGAAUACAGAGGCACAUUUAGAAAUUCAGCUCUGUUCUAGGGCUGAAAUGGGAUCUCACCACACUUCACGUUCUUGAUUUCUGUCGCACACACUUGGUUUCUAGUUUAGUUUUAGUUUUUGUGGUGUUGGGUGUUAGUUGUUACUCUAGUUACUUUCAUUUCUGCAAUUCCGUCUCAA